rnacentral:rRNA from 1 species
UACGUAGGUGGCAAGCGUUAUCCAGAUUUACUGGGCGUAAAGCGCACGCAGGCGGAUGAUUAAGUCAGCUGUGAAAGCCCCCCGGCUCAACUGGGGAGGGUCAUUCGAUACUGAUCGACUCGAAGGCAGGAGAGGGUAGUGGAAUUCCCGGUGUAGUGGUGAAAUGCGUAGAUAUCGGGAGGAACACCAGUGGCGAAGGCGACUACCUGGCCUGUUCUUGACGCUGAGGCGCGAAAGCUAGGGGAGCAAACGGG